rnacentral:rRNA from 1 species
GACGAUGCGUAGCCGACCUGAGAGGGUGAUCGGCCACACUGGGACUGAGACACGGCCCAAACUCCUACGGGAGGCAGCAGUAGGGAAUCUUCCGCAAUGGACGAAAGUCUGACGGAGCAACGCCGCGUGAGCGAAGAAGGUCUUCGGAUCGUAAAGCUCUGUUGUUAGGGAAGAACAAGUACCGUUCAAAUAGGGCGGUACCUUGACGGUACCUAACCAGAAAGCCACGGCUAACUACGUGCCAGCAGCCGCGGUAAUACGUAGGUGGCAAGCGUUAUCCGGAAUUAUUGGGCGUAAAGCGCGCGCAGGCGGUCCUUUAAGUCUGAUGUGAAAGCCCACGGCUCAACCGUGGAGGGUCAUUGGAAACUGGGGGACUUGAGUGCAGAAGAGGAGAGCGGAAUUCCACGUGUAGCGGUGAAAUGCGUAGAGAUGUGGAGGAACACCAGUGGCGAAGGCGGCUCUCUGGUCUGUAACUGACGCUGAGGCGCGAAAGCGUGGGGAGCGAACAGGAUUAGAUACCCUGGUAGUCCACGCCGUAAACGAUGAGUGCUAAGUGUUAGAGGGUUUCCGCCCUUUAGUGCUGCAGCAAACGCAUUAAGCACUCCGCCUGGGGAGUACGGUCGCAAGACUGAAACUCAAAGGAAUUGACGGGGGCCCGCACAAGCGGUGGAGCAUGUGGUUUA